rnacentral:rRNA from 1 species
AGAAUCAACGCUGGCGGCGUGCCUAACACAUGCAAGUCGAACGAGAAAGUGGAGCAAUCCAUUAGUAAAGUGGCGCACGGGUGAGUAACACGUGACUAACCUACCCUUGAGUGGGGGAUAACCUAGAGAAAUCUGGGCUAAUACCGCAUAAUACCUUCGGGUCAAAGGAGCAAUUCGCUUAAGGAGGGGGUCGCGGCCGAUUAGUUAGUUGGCGGGGUAAUGGCCCACCAAGACUAUGAUCGGUAUCCGGCCUGAGAGGGCGCACGGACACACUGGAACUGAAACACGGUCCAGACUCCUACGGGAGGCAGCAGUGGGGAAUUUGCGCAAUGGGGGGAAACCCUGACGCAGCAACGCCGCGUGGAGGAUGAAGCCCCUUGGGGCGUAAAACUCCUUUCGAUCGGGACGAUAAUGACGGUACCGAGAGAAGAAGCCCCGGCUAACUUCGCGCCAGCAGCCGC